CCUUGACCAUGAUGAUUAUAAACAGCUUAUGCCAGUUCUGCUUCAGAAAAUUCUUGAUUGAAAAAGCUGAUUUUUAAAUCUGAGUCUUUU
rnacentral:snoRNA from 1 species